CGACCGGCGCACGGGUGAGUAACGCGUAUGCAACUUGCCCUAUACACUGGGAUAGCCCGUUGAAAGACGGAUUAAUACCGGAUAUUAUUAUAUUCUCGCAUGGGGAUUUAAUGAAAGAUUUAUUGGUAUAGGAUGGGCAUGCGUUCCAUUAGCUUGUUGGUGAGGUAACGGCUCACCAAGGCAACGAUGGAUAGGGGAACUGAGAGGUUUAUCCCCCACACUGGAACUGAGACACGGACCAG
rnacentral:rRNA from 1 species